rnacentral:rRNA from 1 species
UACGGAGGGGGCUAGCGUUGUUCGGAAUGACUGGGCGUAAAGCGCGCGUAGGCGGAUCGGAUAGUUGGGGGUGAAAGCCCCAGGGCUCAACCCUGGAAUGGCCUUCAAAACUCCCGAUCUAGAGUUCGAGAGAGGUGAGUGGAAUUCCGAGUGUAGAGGUGAAAUUCGUAGAUAUUCGGAGGAACACCAGUGGCGAAGGCGGCUCACUGGCUCGACACUGACGCUGAGGUGCGAAAGCGUGGGGAGCGAACAGG